AUGUGUGGACAUCUCAUUACAAAUAUAGUCGAAAGUAAAAAAAUAAGCCUAAGCAUUAUGUGUGUUGGGCUACUCAUUGGGGCAUUAGCUCAAAAACCUGGUGUUUCUUCAAAAUCAGACACAUUUAAAGUCAUAAUCAGUGCAUCAGUCAUCAAUUCAAUAACGAAAUCAUCCAACUCAAUUCAAGAAUCAUGUUGUAGUUUCAGUUCAGCCAUAACUUUGCACAAGCAUUCAAAACCGUGUCCAACCUUAAUAAUGUAG